rnacentral:rRNA from 1 species
GACGAACGCUGGCGGCGUGCUUAACACAUGCAAGUCGUACGGUAAGGCCCUUUCGGGGGUACACGAGUGGCGAACGGGUGAGUAACACGUGAGUAACCUGCCCACAACUUUGGGAUAACGCUAGGAAACUGGUGCUAAUACUGGAUAUGUGCUCCUGCUGCAUGGUGGGGGUUGGAAAGCUCCGGCGGUUGUGGAUGGACUCGCGGCCUAUCAGCUUGUUGGUGGGGUAGUGGCCUACCAAGGCGGCGACGGGUAGCCGGCCUGAGAGGGUGACCGGCCACAUUGGGACUGAGGUGCGGCCCAGACUCCUACGGGAGGCAGCAGUGGGGAAUAUUGCACAAUGGGCGCAAGCCUGAUGCAGCAACGCCGCGUGCGGGAUGACGGCCUUCGGGUUGUAAACCGCUUUCAGCAGGGACGAAGCUUUUUGUGACGGUACCUGCAGAAGAAGCACCGGCUAACUACGUG